rnacentral:rRNA from 1 species
UACGGGGGGGGGCAAGCGUUGUUCGGAAUUACUGGGCGUAAAGGGUUCGUAGGUGGCCAACUAAGUCAGACGUGAAAUCCCUCAGCUUAACUGGGGGAACUGCGUCUGAUACUGAUUGGCUUGAGUGCAGGAGAGGAACGCGGAAUUCCAGGUGUAGCGGUGAAAUGCGUAGAUAUCUGGAGGAACACCGGUGGCGAAGGCGGCGUUCUGGACUGCAACUGACACUGAGGAACGAAAAGCCAGGGGGAGCAAAACGGG